AGUCCAUGGUGCGAGCAAUAUCGGAGCAAGUCCUUGUACCUCUCCCAGGCAUCAUACAUGCUCUCGUCAUCGAACUGCAUAAAAGAAGAUAUGUCAUUUCUCAAUCU
rnacentral:snoRNA from 1 species